AGGACCAAAAGAAGAACUAACAAGGAUUCCCCUAGUAACUGCGAGUGAAGCGGGAAAAGCUCAAAUUUAAAAUCUGGCGGUCUUUGGCCGUCCGAGUUGUAGUCUGGAGAAGUGCUUUCCGCGCUGGACCGUGUAUAAGUCUCUUGGAACAGAGCGUCAUAGAGGGUGAGAAUCCCGUCUUUGACACGGACUACCAGUGCUUUGUGAUGCGCUCUCAAAGAGUCGAGUUGUUUGGGAAUGCAGCUCAAAAUGGGUGGUGAAUUCCAUCUAAAGCUAAAUAUUGGCGAGAGACCGAUAGCGAACAAGUACCGUGAGGGAAAGAUGAAAAGCACUUUGGAAAGAGAGUUAAACAGUACGUGAAAUUGCUGAAAGGGAAACGCUUGAAGUCAGUCGCGUCGUCCGGAACUCAGCCUUGCUUUCGCUUGGUGCACUUUCCGGAUGACGGGUCAGCAUCGAUUUUGACCGUCGGAAAAGGGCUAGAGUAAUGUGGCACCUCCGGGUGUGUUAUAGACUCUGGUCGCAUACGGCGGUUGGGAUCGAGGAACGCAGCGCGCCGCAAGGCAGGGGUUCGCCCACUUUCGCGCUUAGGAUGCUGGCAUAAUGGCUUUAAACGACCCGUCUUGAAACACGGACCAAGGAGUCUAACAUACCUGCGAGUGUUUGGGUGGAAAACCCGAGCGCGUAAUGAAAGUGAAAGUUGAGAUCCCUGUCGUGGGGAGCACCGACGCCCGGACCUGACGUUCUCUGACGGAUCCGCGGUAGAGCAUGUAUGUUGGGACCCGAAAGAUGGUGAACUAUGCCUGAAUAGGGUGAAGCCAGAGGAAACUCUGGUGGAGGCUCGUAGCGAUUCUGACGUGCAAAUCGAUCGUCAAAUUUUGGGUUUAGGGGCGAAGGACUAAUCGAAUCAUCUAGUAGCUGGGUUCCUGCCGGAGGUUUUCCCUCAGGAUAGCAGAACUCAUUAUCAGAUUUAUGUGUUAAGCGAUGAUGAGAGGGCCUUUGGGGUUGAAACACCUUAACUAUUCUCAACUUUAAUAUGUAGACGAGCCGUCGCUGAUGGACCGCUCGGCGAUGAAGUUCUAUGGGUCAUUUUGGUAGCCAACG
rnacentral:rRNA from 1 species